AACGAUCGAGCCCGAAAUUUGUAUUGGUCAUUUGUUCUCUCAAGAACGUGUGAUUAAUACCAAUAUCGGUUCAAAUUAGAAAGUGCUAGAGGUCCGUUCAAGCCAACUGUCCGUCUGCCUAUUUUAGGUAUCUCCGUUCAUUUUUUCUCCGUCCUUUGUUUUAUUCCCAUCCUCGUCUCCUUCUGAUUCUUUCUUUUUCUUUCUUGUUUAAAUCGUUUUUGCUUGCAUGUUAGGAGUAAGUCAUGUUAUUUUAUAGUAUUUAGCUUAAUAAUACGGUCAACAUUGUUGUUAGUUCAUUUGAUUUCGUUAUUUGAUUUUGCUUAAUUCUCCAUUUAUUUUUGUUUCUUUGGAAUUAUGAUAUCAGGAGUUUAUAACUCCGUUGGCCUGUUUUCUUGUAGGUUGCUGUUUUUGAAUUAAAAUUUGGGCUUCGUAGGUCAGAAGCCCAAAGAGGGGAAGGGACAAUUCUGGCUGUCAAGCCCAUGGGUUAGGUUUGAGAUUUGGGUUAAUUUGACCCAUGUUUUAUUUCCUGAAGGUAAAUAACAGAAGAUUAAAGAGUAUUUAGGGCAUUUGUUAUUGGAAGAAUCUUUCACAAUUGCCUGAGAAAUUUUCAGGAAGGUGGGAUUGAGGCUGGUUUAACAAACAUGCUAAAAACUUGGGGUCUAAGGUGAGAAAAAUGAAAUUGGGGAAGAGGUAAAUGGUGAAGUUAAGAAUCAGAUUUUGCUGCCCUAGAAUUUAUCUAUAAAAAGGCCACUUCCUGCAUUCUUCUAGGAGAGAUUUAGAGACCUAAAAAAUAGAAACGGCUGAAAUUUUCUGAAAAAUAUCAGUGCUAGUCUUCAACUUUUCCAUUCUUUUCUCUUCAAGAAGUUAAAGGGAAACUAGCUAUUCAAUUUCUGGUGAUUUGGCAUGAAUGAAAUGAUGUAAUUUGAAGCUAACAUUGAUUACUACUGCUGAUCUUUGCUGCUUCUUUUGUUCUUUGUCAAGCUCAGAGUUUAUUCCUUUGUUGUCUCUUGUUGUUCCAGGUACUCAUUUGAAUCUUGAGUGAUAAAUGGAGCUUGAAUGUGCUUGUGUGAAGGAUGUGUUUCCGUAGAAGUUAAUGGAGAUCUUUUGUUUGGAUGUUAUUUUUCAUAUGUCCUUUUAAGCCAUUUAGUUUCCCCCUCAUUUCUUCUAUUCUGUCUCCUUCUUAUUAUGUGUAAUUCUGUUAUGUUGAUCCUUGGCUCAUGAAGUUAUUCAGUGGCAAAUGCUUAGUAAUCC
rnacentral:lncRNA from 1 species